UACGUAGGGUGCAAGCGUUAAUCGGAAUUACUGGGCGUAAAGUGUGCGCAGGCGGCAGAGCAAGUCGAGUGUGAAAGCCCCGAGCUUAACUUGGGAAUUGCGCUCGAAACUACUUUGCUGGAGUGUGGCAGAGGAAGGUGGAAUUCCAGGUGUAGCGGUGAAAUGCGUAGAGAUCUGGAGGAACACCGAUGGCGAAGGCAGCCUUCUGGGCCAACACUGACGCUCAUGCACGAAAGCGUGGGGAGCAAACAGG
rnacentral:rRNA from 1 species